rnacentral:lncRNA from 1 species
CAACGCCACUCCCCUCCACAGAAAGAAAAUGCUGGUAAAACUCAUCUUUCAGGGCCGUCCGAAUUCUACUGGCUUCUAAUUUACGUUUCUUGAAGAGGGCAGUCUUCAGGUAACUGACCCAAUCUGCUCAGAAUCUGCAGUUUUACAGUGUCCCCAGGUUUUGUCAUUGUCCCCCACCCUGAGCUUGGGAACCUAGAGGUCAACUCGACGUCUAGGCAGAUGCCCUGUGGGUCAGCUCUGUGGCUCUGCCCGCAGGUCAGCUCUCUGCACAAAGAACAGACCCCUCCGUCCCCUCCGUGUCCCUCCCUGCAUGGCAGGGGUGGCUUGGAGGUGGCCAUGGACCUGUGUGGACUGACUCGGCCACAGGCCGUCACUCCUGGGGAGCCUCCUGCCCACCAUGUGCGUCCUCCCUUAGGAAGUCCCCUGACUCCAGUGAGGUCCACUCCCUGUGACCUCUCACCUGUCCAUCGCCACCUGACCAAGCACUGCAGAGGCGGAGCCUCAGGCCGCGCACGCCUGUCCUCUGGUUCCGUGGGAGCUGGGCCCGUGGUCCAGGCUCAUCCCGGCUGCGUCCCACCCGCUGGCUAGGGCUGUCUGAGGCAUGGCACCUCCUCCCAGGGCAUCCAGGGUGUGGGUGGAAUUUAUGGAUUGCAGUUGUGAGUCUGAGGCUCAGGGUCCUGCAGCUCGUGGGGCCCCCCACGAGCCCCCCAGGGGCGGGUCGGAGCACCAAGCUUGCUUUCUUUAACCCAGGGGCCUGUCGGUCUCGCUUCUUCCACUUAUGACAGUCUUUGUCUCUGACCUCUAAACCCUCUUUUAAGGGCUGUUGGCAGCAGGUCCACCCUGGCCCCUGGAGCCCCACCUCCACUAGUUUGUUCUGCAUGCCAGUGUGGCCAGCUCACAAGGCCAUGGCGAACUUGCGGUUUUUCUGUUCCUGCUUGUCCGUCUGAGACAUAUGUGUCCCACGGGAAUGCCUUGACCUUUUCUGGUCUGAUGGACUUCUUGUUAAGGGGGGUUUCGGUACCUGACAAUAAUAGAUGUUGAAACUAAAUUUCUCCCCCCUCCCUCCUGCUUUUGGGUAGUUUUCCACUUCUGCUGCUUGGGGUAUAAAAAAAGGUGUGUUAGCA